UACAGAGGGUGCAAGCGUUGUUCGGAAUUAUUGGACGUAAAGCGCGUGUAGGCGGCAUGGCAAGUCGGGUGUGAAAGCCCUCAGCUUAACUGAGGAAGUGCGCCCGAAACUGCCGUGCUUGAGUGCCGGAGAGGGUGGCGGAAUUCCCCAAGUAGAGGUGAAAUUCGUAGAUAUGGGGAGGAACACCGGUGGCGAAGGCGGCCACCUGGACGGUAACUGACGCUGAGACGCGAAAGCGUGGGGAGCAAACAGG
rnacentral:rRNA from 1 species